rnacentral:misc_RNA from 1 species
GAUGAAGAACGUAGCGAAAUGCGAUAAGUAAUGUGAAUUGCAGAAUUUAGUGAAUCAUCGAAUCUUUGAACGCACAUUGCGCCCUGUGGUAUUCCGCAGGGCAUGCCUGUUCGAGCGUCAUUUCAACCCUCAAGCCCCGCUUGGUGUUGGGCCCCGCCCGCUGUGGCCGGCCCUAAAGACAGUGGCGGCGCCGCCUGGCCCUCAGCGUAGUACAUCUCUCGCUCCAGGGUCCGGUGGCCGCCUGCCAGAACCCCCCAACUCUGUGGUUGACCUCGGAUCAGGUAGGGAUACCCGCUGAACUUAAGCAUAUCAAUAAGCGGAGGA